rnacentral:tRNA from 1 species
GCCGGGGUAGCUCAGCUUGGUCAGAGAAAAUAUUACCAUCAGUAAUAUUUCUUCAACGCGGGGCUCAUAAUCCCGUUGCCGUGGGUUCGAAUCCCACCCCCGGCG